CAAGUCAAGCAGUAUCAAACUCUAUUAAAAAAUAAUGACCAUAAAAACAUAACAACAAAUAUGCCACUUACAAUCAAGAGACCACAAAAAGCUUAAGAGAACAAAUUUUAAUGAGGUUUAAAAUGAGAGAUGAGAUGGGAUAUGAGUAGGGACCAGAUUAGGAAGGAUCUAGGAAGAAGGACCAGUAGCAUGAGACAACAUCCUGAGAAGAAUGGUCAUAAGCUCACUUUCAGCAACAUGAGCCUUUAGAAUCUGCUGGCUCAAAUCUUCAUUCUUUUAGGUCAAGUCUUCAACUCUUGUUUCU
rnacentral:lncRNA from 1 species